rnacentral:misc_RNA from 1 species
GAUGAAGAACGUAGCGAAAUGCGAUACUUGGUGUGAAUUGCAGAAUCCCGUGAACCAUCGAGUCUUUGAACGCAAGUUGCGCCCGAAGCCAUUAGGCCGAGGGCACGCCUGCCUGGGCGUCACACGUCGUUGCCCCCCCAUCUACUCCUUCGGGAUUGCGGGGGGCGGAUGAUGGCCUCCCGUGCGCCUCGUCGCGCGGUUGGCAUAAAUGCCAAGUCCUCGGCGACGCACGCCACGACAAUCGGUGGUUGCGAAACCUCGGUUGCCCGUCGUGUGCGGUCGUCGCGCAUCGAGGGCUCGAAAAAAUUGCCGGGCUCCGGCUCGGCUUUCAACGCGACCCCAGGUCAGGCGGGGUUACCCGCUGAAUUUAAGCAUAUCAAUAAGCGAAGGA